rnacentral:tRNA from 1 species
GGAGAGGUGGCUGAGUGGUCGAAAGCGCCGGAUUGCUAAUUCGGUGAUCUGCUAACGCGGGUCCGCAGGUUCGAAUCCUGUCCUCUCCG